UGCCAGACUCCUACGGGAGGCAGCAGUGGGGAAUAUUGCACAAUGGGGGGAACCCUGAUGCAGCGACGCCGCGUGGGCGAGGAAGUAUUUCGGUAUGUAAAGCCCUCUCGGCAGGGAAGAAGAAAUGACGGUACCUGAAUAAGAAGCACCGGCUAAAUACGUGCCAGCAGCCGCGGUAAUACGUAUGGUGCAAGCGUUAUCCGGAUUUACUGGGCGUAAAGGGAGCGCAGGCGGCGCGCCAAGUCUGAUGUGAAGCCCCGGGGCUCAACCCCGGGCAUGCAUUGGAAACUGGCGGGCUGGAGUGCCGGAGAGGUAAGCGGAAUUCCUAGUGUAGCGGUGAAAUGCGUAGAUAUUAGGAGGAACACCAGUGGCGAAGGCGGCUUACUGGACGGCAACUGACGCUGAGGCUCGAAAGCGUGGGGAGCAAACAGGAUUAGAUACCCCUGUA
rnacentral:rRNA from 1 species